UGGCAGCGGCAGAGAAUGCCCAGUGAAUCACUGAACACAGCAUCUAGCGUCUGGAACGAUGGUGAAUGUGCGAUGGAGAGGACCAUUCGUGGUUUGCAAGUUGGACUACAUCCAGUCCCAGGAAACAAUCCGGGGCCCUGUAUGCAAAGUCACCCCCAAAUUUUGCAAAAGGAGCUGGGAAACCAAAGAAUGUGGCAGACAAAUCCAGUUUGUCAGAAAAGGAUAGUUUAUUAGGGAACUUACAGACAGGAGUUUGCUCUUGGGCAGCACAAGACGGGUAUAUCUCCCGCUGUAUGCCUGGGCUUGUAUGCCACAGCGAAAGAGGCUGUGUGCUCUGCAGGGAGGUGACCUUCCAGGAAAAGACAAGAAUGCGAUUUAUGUGUGUCACAGCCUGUAAACUGUGUGAUAACAUCAAACUUGUUUUGACCUGGGGCAGGAUUUACGGUAAGUACAUAUACUCUUAUGCAGGGAACGGUGGAGCAGAAAUCUUCACAGGCGUUUCUGGAACUGGGUUAGUCAGAAGCCAACAGGCAGAUCAGCAUCCAGGUUGGAGUUGUGUUAGCUCACAACCACAUUGUGCCACCUUGGCUUCUUUUUGAAGUGGCAGAUAGAAACUUACAAAUAGGGUGGUAUUAAUUAUAUGUAACCUUGUCGGUGCUAUGGAUUCCAGACUCUUUUGACUUUAGUUUGCUCAUUUAAAAAAAAAAUUAAAAAGUCAAGCAACUGGAUUUGUCCUUUAAAAGCAAGAGCUUGCUAAAGGGGUAAAACUUUUACUUUCUCUUAUUUGAUUUUUUGAGACCAAGUUUUGCUCUUGUUGCCCAGGCUGGAGUGCACAUGAUCUCGGCUCACUGCACCCUCUGCCUCCUGGGUUCAAGCAAUUCUCUUGCCUCAGCCUCCCAAGUAGCUGAGGUUACAGGCGUGUGCCAUCACGCCCUGCUAAUAUUUGUAUUUUUAUUAGAGACAGGGUUCUACCAUGUUGAUCAGGCUGGUCUCGAACCUGACCUCAGGUGAUCUGCUGGCCUCGGUCUCUCAAAGUGCUGGGAUUGCAGGUGUGAGCCAGCACACCCAUACAAUUACAUACCAUUUCACAUAUGUUAAAAACUUAUCAAGACCAGGCAUGGUGGCGAAACUCCGUCUCAAAAACAAAAACAAAACAAAGCAAAAACCUUAUCAAAAUGUAUAUUUAAAACAUGUACAGCAUAAUAUAUACCAGUUAUACCUCAAUUAAACUGUGAAAAAAGGGACAAAACUAUAUGCAGACACCUUAAAAAUAGGGUUGCAAAACGCUCAGUGGCUGAUUGCUGCAGUGGUAGUCCAUCUGUAUUCCCAAAUGUGACCUCUUAGAGAACCUUAAUAAGAAUUUUAACCUAGGAAUGUCCCACCCUUAAUCUGAAUUGGAAAUUCUGAUAUUUCCUCCCAUGGAAAUCAGUUAAGGACCCAUACGUAAAACUGAUGCCUAUUCAAUGCUGGUGGCUCUGACCCCCAAGUAGUUCAAGGCCUAGAGAAAUGCUAGUGUCACUGUGGGCUUGGAGAGGCCAACAACCCAGUGAUGUCAUAAACUACCUGAGGCUCACCUGCCACAGGCUGAAGGUCACUGGG
rnacentral:lncRNA from 13 species